rnacentral:rRNA from 1 species
UAAUCAUUAGUUUCUUAAUUAGGAGCUUGUAUGAAGGGUUGGACGAGGGAAUUUCUGUCUCAUAUUAAUUUAUAUUAGAAUUUUAUAUUUAAGUAACAAAGCUUAAAUAACUUUAAAAGACGAGAAGACCCUAUAGAGUUUUAUAUUUUUAUUAUAAGGGAUGAUUUGAAUUAUUAUUAACUUUAUUAGUGAAAAUAUUUUGUUGGGGUGAUAGGGAAAUUUACUUAACUUUCUCUUUUUAUGAACAUAGAUUUAUGAAUAGAUGAUCCAAUGUUUUUGAUUAUAAGAUUAAAUUACCUUAGGGAUAACAGCGUUAUUUUACUAGAGAGCUCAAAUCGAAAGUAAAGUUUGCGACCUCGAUGUUGGAUUAAAAUUUAUUGUAGGUGUAGAAGCUUACAAAUUAAGUCUGUUCGACUUUUAAAAUUUU